ensembl:lncRNA
GUACAAAGAGCUGAAAGUCCUCAUGACACGUACACCACACAAUAGUUUAUCAGAUACUAUUUAUUUUUUGACAUUUCCUUUUAUUCUCUGGCUCCAUUGCUGAGCAAAACACCCCUGGCACAAUGGCUGAAGAUGAAAGAGCAAAAUAAAUCAAUAAACAAAGUGCAAAUACAUUAUGAUCACACACAAUGCCUUCUGUAUGGCACCUUUGUCUGCAUACAAUAUUAAUGCUAUUUAUAUCCCUUGUUAACAUAUUAGUGUGUGCUCUAGCUAUGUUGAUGAUUGAUUAACAUGUCAAAUUAAAUCACUGUCAAAGUAACAUUAGCUGUGCUGAUAUUCCAAACAGUCCAAUUACAGCCAUUAAUUGAGUGAAUCCACUCAGCUCUCAAGGACAACAGGAGACUCUUGACGACCACAAAGAUCUGAUUUCACUGUCUGUAAACCACUGCCAUCUUUGGUGUGGUUUAUAAAAAUGAACAGUUCAAUCAAUUAGCAUUCUUUAUGCUCAAAUGUCACCUAACUUUGCAGCUCUACAGAGCUCUUAAGCAUCUUGUUCAACCCUCAUCAACCCUGUGUCCAGCAGCAGCAGUAAGCUGUAUAAACCCUAGAGCUACCUCCUUAGCACGAAAACAGGAAAAAAGAGAAACUAUCAUCACCAUUGGAAGAAAACAACAAUGUACGGCUCUAGAGGAAAAUGGUUUGGAGAUUUGACAGCCCCGUUGUAAUUUGUCAGAGUCGUUCUCCAUGAGCGUCUCUACAUCGUCCCCACACUUCAUACAGGAAAUGAUUCAUCUGCAUCCAGGAGAGAAGCUGAGCGCCAUUUCUAAAUUACCUAUGAGUUAUCUCCUCAAUAACUUCUAAUCAGACAGCUGCCGUUUCCUCCACUGUAAACAAAAGUAAUUACAGUAGAUGUGAUGGAUGGAAAGAAUAAGACAGCUUCUGCAUGCUCAGGACCAGUCUGGGACUCUGUAGAGCAGAACACUUUAAUUAGGGACGGCCUAGCCCAGCACAACUGAAUGAGUCUGACAAAGCACACGUUUCAGUUGCUAAAAUAAGCCUCUGCCUAUGCAGUGUCUUUUGUUUUCCCAAGUUUGGGCCAGUGAUUUACUUCAGCGCCUCUGAAGAAGUUGUUUUGAGGAAGAAAUAGAAUCUAACAUGAUAUCACUUCAUCCUGAUUAAUGAUAAUGAGAUUCUAAGUAGAAUUUAGGAGAAAAAUCAAAUAUGCAACCGCAGAGUCAAAUAAAAGCGUCAGUUUUCAUUGGCCAACCAGGAAUGUCAUUACUUCUUUGCUCUUCAGUGCGCUUGGUGAUUGAUCAUUAUUUAUGAAAUAUUUAAACUCCAUUAGAUACAGUACAGUUGGGAGACGAAUAAAAUCAUGAUCUUGUGUAUAUGCAAUAUUCUGUAUGGGCAAGCAGGAGGGAAAAGUCUUUCUCCAUUUCUUCAUCUAAAUGCCUUUAUUAUACAGUAUAGACUAAGGGUUAAUAUGUAAAACAGCUUGGGUGGUAUCGCAAGUAAAACCUUUGUGUUAUACAACUAAAUAGGGAAUAUUCUAUCCACACCACCAAUUUAAUGGAAAAAAAAACUAGUGCCAAAAUCUUUUUUUAUUUAGGAAAUGAACAAGCACAACAAAUGGUAAUUAACAUGUUAUUAUGCUUUUUAAAAUGUAUUUUAUCAUUAUUUAUCAGUGGAUGAAUUUGAAUUGAGCCACAUCUUAUUUGUGAAGCCUAAUGAGAAACAUGGACUUUUAGUGGUGACUGUUUUGCUGAGGGAUUGAGGUUGGGCACAAGUGCACCUCCUGCAGGACACUGGGAAACCUUGAUUUUUAUUUUUAUUUUUUUAUUUCAAAACAGGAAUUAUUAUUAUUUUCUUUUUUCUUGUUUUCUUCUUCUGGGCUGUAAACAUUGGAGUCAAUAGUGGUUUUGUUUUUUGGUAGAACAAUGCCUCCCAUGCCUUUGGUGUUGAGAGAGAACAGUCUUUAUUUACAUUACCACAGCAAACAGCACUAAAAGACAAUACACAUAGUAACCAUGUUGAAGAGAACUGCACCAACUUUAAAACAGCAUUUUACAGUAGACAAAUAGUUACAUGCUCCUACUACUGCUUUACAAGAAGCAGAAGCUCCUUUGAUUUCACUGCAACUGAGUA